GCCCAACUCCUACGGGAGGCAGCAGUGGGGAAUCUUGCACAAUGGAGGAAACUCUGAUGCAGCGAUGCCGCGUGAGUGAAGAAGGCCCUUGGGUUGUAAAGCUCUUUCGUCGGGGAAGAAAAUGACUGUACCCGAAUAAGAAGGUCCGGCUAACUUCGUGCCAGCAGCCGCGGUAAUACGAAGGGACCUAGCGUAGUUCGGAAUUACUGGGCUUAAAGAGUUCGUAGGUGGUUGAAAAAGUUAGUGGUGAAAUCCCAGAGCUUAACUCUGGAACAGCCAUUAAAACUUUUCAGCUAGAGUAUGAUAGAGGAAAGCAGAAUUUCUAGUGUAGAGGUGAAAUUCGUAGAUAUUAGAAAGAAUACCAAUUGCGAAGGCAGCUUUCUGGAUCAUUACUGACACUGAGGAACGAAAGCAUGGGUAGCGAAGAGGAUUAGAUACCCUCGUAGUCCAUGCCGUAAACGAUGUGUGUUAGACGUUGGAGAUUUAUUUUCAGUGUCGCAGGGAAACCGAUAAACACACCGCCUGGGGAGUACGACCGCAAGGUUAAAACUCAAAUGAAUUGACGGGGACCCGCACAAGUAGUGGAGCAUGUGGUUUAAUUCGAAGAUACGCGCAGAACCUUACCAACACUUGACAUGUUCGUCGCGACUCUAAGAGAUUAGAGUUUUCGGUUCGGCCGGACGAAACACAGGUGCUGCAUGGCUGUCGUCAGCUCGUGUCGUGAGAUGUUGGGUUAAGUCCCGCAACGAGCGCAACCCUCACUUUUAGUUGCCAUCAUUAAGUUGGGCACUCUGAAAGAACUGCCAGUGAUAAGCUGGAGGAAGGUGGGGAUGACGUCAAGUCCUCAUGGCCCUUACGUGUUGGGCUACACACGUGCUACAAUGGCAUCUACAACAGGAAGCAAAACGGCAACGUUAAGCAAAUCCCGAAAAGAUGCCUCAGUUCGGAUUGCACUCUGCAACUCGAGUGCAUGAAGCUGGAAUA
rnacentral:rRNA from 1 species